AUGAAAGUUGUUAUUAUAUAGAAUUUAAUUAAAGUAAUUUUAAAAAAAGUAUAUUUUAUUUUUAUUAGUUUAUACGAAUAAAUAAAUUUAAUUAUAGUGUAUUAGUAUUGUGAGAGAAUGGAGAGUUAUUAUAAAAAGAAGGAUUAAUUUUUUGUACCUUGUGUAUCAGGGUUUAUUAAAUAAAAAUUAAGUAUUUAAUUUUCUCGAAUCAAUAAGGGCUAUAUCUAUAUCGAUUUUUUUGUUGAAUAAAAAUUAUUAAUAUAAAUAUAGAGGUGAAAUAUUAUUCGAUUAUUGAGAUAUCUGGUUUUUAGAGAAAAAAGUAUAAUUUUUAUAUUAAUUUAAUAUAUGAUUUAAUUAUUAAUUUUAUAUUAUUAAUAUUUUAUAUUUUAAGGGAUGAGCUUUAAGAUAGAUUUUUCUAAGAUAUUAUUAUUUUAUGAUAAAGUAGGAUUGUAAGUUUUUAUCUUUAAGAGUGUGUUGUAACUUUUUUAAAAUAAAUUAUAAUUUAUAUAGUAAUCUUUAAGUAUUUUAUUUAAAUAAAAUUUUUCAUUUGAUUAAUUUUGUUAAAAUGAUAAAAUUAGUAUAAAAUUUUGUUUUUUAGUUUUGAUUUUAAAGGUUAAGUAAAGGAAUUCGACAAAUAUAUUUUUCACCUGUUUAUUAAAAACAUGGCCUUUUGAUUAUAAUUUAAGGUCUGGCCUGCCCAAUGAAUUUUAAAUGGCCGCGGUAUAUUGACCGUGCAAAGGUAGCAUAAUCAUUAGUUUUUUAAUUGAAAGCUGGAAUGAAAGGUUGGAUGAAAAAAUAAUUGUCUCUAUUUGAAUUAUUUAGAAUUUUAUUUAUAAGUAAAAAAGCUUAUAUAUAAUUAGAAGACGAGAAGACCCUAUAGAGUUUUAUUAAUUAAUAUAAUGAAAUUUUUAGUAUUUAUAUUUUUUUAUAUAUAAUUAAAUUGAUUGGGGUGAUUGAAAAAUUUAAUUAACUUUUUUUUAUUAUACACAUUAAUUUAUGGAUAAUUGAUCCUUAAUUAAAGAUUAUAAGAUGAAAUUACCUUAGGGAUAACAGCGUAAUUUUUUUAGAGAGUUCAAAUCGAAAAAAAAGAUUGCGACCUCGAUGUUGGAUUAAAAUAAAAUUUUGGUGUAGAAGCUAGAAUAUUUAGGUCUGUUCGACCUUUAAAAUUUUACAUGAUCUGAGUUUAAACCGGUGUGAGCCAGGUUGGUUUCUAUCUCUAAUAAAAUUAAAUAUCUUAGUACGAAAGGACCAGGUAUUUGGUUAAAAACUUAAUUUAAGAAUAUUAAUAAUU
rnacentral:rRNA from 1 species